rnacentral:rRNA from 1 species
AGCAGCCGCGGUAAUUCCAGCUCCAAUAGCGUAUAUUAAAGUUGUUGCAGUUAAAAAGCUCGUAGUUGAAUUUCGGGAUCAAUAUGUCGGUCGUGCCUUCGGUACGUACUGGUAUCAUUGGUCUCUCCUUUCUGACGAACCAUGAUGUCAUUAAUUUGGUGUUAUGGGGAGUUAGGACUGUUACUUUGAAAAAAUUAGAGUGUUUAAAGCAGGCUUUAGCUUGAAUACAUUAGCAUGGAAUAAUGAAAUAGGACGUUCGAACCUAUUUUGUUGGUUUCUAGGAUCAACGUAAUGAUUAAUAGGGAUAGUUGGGGGCAUUAGUAUUCAAUUGUCGGAGGUGAAAUUCUUGGAUUUAUUGAAGACUAACUACUGCGAAAGCAUUUGCCAAGGAUGUUUUCAUUAAUCAAGAACGAAAGUUAGGGAUCGAAGACGAUCAGAUACCGUCGUAGUCUUAACCAUAAACUAUGCCGACUGGGGAUCGGAUGAUGUUAAUUUUUUAAUGUACUCAUUCGGCGCCUUA